UACGAAGGGGGCUAGCGUUGCUCGGAAUCACUGGGCGUAAAGCGCACGUAGGCGGCUUUUAAGUCAGGGGUGAAAUCCUGGAGCUCAACUCCAGAACUGGCCUUUGACUACUGAGAAGCUUGAGUCCGGGAGAGGUGAGUGGAACUGCGAGUGUAGAGGUGAAAUUCGUAGAUAUUCGCAAGAACACCAGUGGCGAAGGCGGCUCACUGGCCCGGUACUGACGCUGAGGUGCGAAAGCGUGGGGAGCAAACAGG
rnacentral:rRNA from 1 species